ensembl:lncRNA
AUCAGGGACAAGGCUCACUGGUGGCUCAGAUGUUCCCUGAGGCCCCUCCGAUGUGGGGGCCACACUGUUGAGACACAGAGCUGCACAGAGAGCCCGAGGACACUGACUCCACUGGCUUCCGUCCCCAGAGCCAAGGUGCCCUGGUCCUACGCUGAUUCAUGGACCCACCACCUCUGACUGGGCCAACUCCACCUCUCAGCUGCCUGGACUUGAAACCAGCACCUGCCCCGCAGCAUGUCCUGGCCAGCCUGCUGGAGGAUGAGAGCCAAGCCAGCCCAGGAGCAGAGCCAAGCCAGCCCAGCUGUGCCCACAGAGGCCCCAGAGUGUGAGAGAGCACGGCCAAGGUCAGCAGGGCCAUCAGCUGACCCUGAGCUGAACACAAACACAUGGGUGAGCGUAGAUCAGAGCAGAAGUCCUGCCCAGACAACCCAGUGACUGGUGAGCAAAAAUAAACGCUUAUGGAGGAAUGCCACAGAGGUUCCAUGGUUGAUUGUCUUGUGGUCCUUCUCUGGCGAUAGGUGAAUGAAGACGUCUGUUCUCCUGUGGCAGCCCCCUCAUCUCUCACAUUAGCAACUCCAUAGGCCAGGGACCAAAGAAGCUGUGCUGACCCUUUAAGAACCAGGAGCAGCCAGAAAAAUGGAAGCAUCCAGACUCCAAGCCCAGCACUAAGCCUCACCCAGUCCUUUCCUACAGCUGGUGACCCGUUUUCCUUCAUUAUUUGGGCACUGCGUGCAGCCACCAUCUCUAGCUGGGUGACUCCUUGUUUUUCCUUCUGGGAAUGCUUGAUUCUUUCCUGUCAUUUACCAUUUUCAGAACAAUGGGAGUGCCCUAACUCCCUCCACAGGUGAUAAAAGAUAUUUUUUUGUAUCCCUAUGAAGGUUCAUGUUCCAACACAUCACAGGCAUUGUUGUUGUUAUUACUAUUUUUGCUAUUGUUAUUAUUCUUGAAGUUCAAAUUGUUCCUUUUUAAGGCAGUGGGAUCCCCUUCAAACUGGCUUUGUGUCCUUCUGAGAUGUCCCUUGUGGAACAG